rnacentral:rRNA from 1 species
GAUGAACGCUGGCGGUAUGCUUAACACAUGCAAGUCGAACGAAAGUUUUUAACUUUAGUGGCGAACGGGUGCGUAAUACGUGAGAAUCUGCCCUUAGGAGAAGAACAACUACUGGAAACGGUUGCUAACUCUUCAUAUGCCGAGAGGUGAAAUAAUUUCGAUUGCCUAAGGAUGAGCUCACGCCUGAUUAGCUAGUUGGUAAGGUAAUGGCUUACCAAGGCCACGAUCAGUAGCUGGUUUGAGAGAACGAUCAGCCACACUGGGACUGAGACACGGCCCAGACUCCUACGGGAGGCAGCAGUGGGGAAUUUUCCGCAAUGGGCGAAAGCCUGACGGAGCAAUACCGCGUGAGAGAGGAAGGCUUUUGGGUUGUAAACCUCUUUUCUCAAGGAAGAAUAACUGACGGUACUUGAGGAAUAAGCAUCGGCUAACUCCGUGCCAGCAGCCGCGGUAAUACGGAGGAUGCAAGCGUUAUCCGGAAUUAUUGGGCGUAAAGCGUCCGCAGGUGGUCCAUCAAGUCUGCUGUUAAAGACCAGGGCUUAACCCCGGGAAGGCGGUGGAAACUGGUGGACUAGAGUACGGUAGGGGUAGAGGGAAUUCCCAGUGUAGCGGUGAAAUGCGUAGAGAUUGGGAAGAACACCAGUGGCGGAGGCGCUCUACUGGACCUGUACUGACACUCAGGGACGAAAGCUAGGGUAGCGAAAGGGAUUAGAUACCCCUGUAGUCCUAGCCGUAAACGAUGGAUACUAGGCGUUGCUUGUAUCGACCCGAGCAGUGCCGUAGCUAACGCGUUAAGUAUC